CAAUAGCGUAUAUUAAAGUUGUUGCAGUUAAAAAGCUCGUAGUUGGAUUUCGGGGCAGCCUGGCUGGUCCGCCGCAAGGCGAGUACUGGUCAGCCGCCCUUCCUCUCGAAAGCCCCGACUGCUCUUCGUUGCGGUGGUCGGGUAGUUCGGGACGUUUACUUUGAAAAAAUUAGAGUGUUCAAGGCAGGCCUACGCCUGAAUACAUUAGCAUGGAAUAAUGGAAGAGGACCUCGGUCCUAUUUUGUUGGUUUCCAGGGCCGAAGUAAUGAUUAAGAGGGACAGUUGGGGGCAUUCGUAUUUAAUUGUCAGAGGUGAAAUUCUCGGAUUUAUGAAAGACGAACAACUGCGAAAGCAUUUGCCAAGGAUGUUUUCAUUAA
rnacentral:rRNA from 1 species